UUCUUGGACGAGUCUAAAUUUCAUGAUCAAUUGUGUUCUUCAACAUUUAAAUACCAAAUUGAAAUAUAAAUUUUAAGGAUUUAAUGUAUGGGAUGGAUAAUUUUACCUCAAGAUUGUAUAUUUAGCCUUUCCUCCUCCCCCCUCCCUAAAUGAAAGAUUCCUAUUUAUAGACCACAAAUUAGGUAUAAAAUGGAGUUCUAAUAUUACAAAGAAACCAUGAUUUUGUACCAACUCGGAAAUCCCCAAUUGUUGGCUUGUGGCCUGCCACAUUUCCCAAAAUAAGGAAAGAUCUGCUUUGUGCUGCUCACGAAAACAUCUAACCUAUACUGGCCGUGACAUGUAGCCACUCAAAUUCGGUAAUUGAAUCCAUCUUGAAAUCGUCCUUGACCCGGUAAUCUUUUUAUUUUUUUUAUUUUACUUAUGCAGAUUGGGUCUUAUUUCCUCUUUUUGUUCGGAUAGAGUCCUCAAAUACUGAAAUUGGGGUCCUUCAACUUCUUAACAUGACUCCUUGGUCCCUAACUUCCAGAAUACGUCCAACUUUAGUCCAUUCUCUUAUUAAUUAUCAUCUUUUCAUUCGUUUUGGCCCAAUUCUGGAUGUUCUCCUGAAUCAAUCAACGGACAAUCGUAAUUAAUUAUCGAGCUCAUAAUAAUCACCAUCAAUUGCUACUUUAAUGAUCAAGAUAAGUGUAAAUAUUACACUUCCACUUCACACCUGAUGACAUUUAGUGAAAACAAAAAUACAAAUGAGAACAAGACCUCGUAUAUCGAAACCUAGUAUGUUCUCUCUUUAGACCACUUACAGCUACCAAAUAAUCUAUACAUGCACAAAAUUUCCUUGUAUAUCUGAUUUGGCUUGUGAUAGUGCACUUUUCAAGAGCGUUUUGCUUGUUUAGUAUGCUUGCUUAAAUCUUCCGAAAGGUGUAAAUAAUACGUGAAUAGUAAAUUUUACAUCCUACCAAAUGUGUGAGAAAAAUAUAUGAUUUAAAUUGAGAAAAUUACCUACAUUCCUACAUUUCAAGUUUCAAUUUGAAAAAUCAAGUACUAAAAAGUUUUUAUCCAAAUUAGGUAUGCAGAUCAAUGACGAUCUAUAAAGGUUAGGGACAAUUGAUGGCGCUAAUGAGACUGCUGUCAAUUGCCAGUGAUGGUGGUGUAGGAUAUGCUGAUACAAAAAUAAAAAUACAAGAAAAGUUGUGGAGUGGGCGGGCGAAAUGACGGCAACGGUGGUAUUUGACAAUAAUGUACCUUCUCAC
rnacentral:lncRNA from 1 species